rnacentral:rRNA from 1 species
GACGAACGCUGGCGGCGUGCUUAACACAUGCAAGUCGAACGGUAAGGCCCUUCGGGGUACACGAGUGGCGAACGGGUGAGUAACACGUGGGUGAUCUGCCCUGCCCUUCGGGAUAAGCCUGGGAAACUGGGUCUAAUACCGGAUAGGACUCCGGACUGCGUGGUCUGGGGUGGAAAGCUCUUGCGGUGUGGGAUGGGCCCGCGGCCUAUCAGCUUGUUGGUGGGGUGAUGGCCUACCAAGGCGACGACGGGUAGCCGGCCUGAGAGGGUGACCGGCCACACUGGGACUGAGAUACGGCCCAGACUCCUACGGGAGGCAGCAGUGGGGAAUAUUGCACAAUGGGCGCAAGCCUGAUGCAGCGACGCCGCGUGAGGGAUGACGGCCUUCGGGUUGUAAACCUCUUUCAGCAUCGACGAAGCGAAAGUGACGGUAGGUGCAGAAGAAGGACCGGCCAACUACGUGCCAGCAGCCGCGGUAA